UACGUAGGGUGCGAGCGUUAAUCGGAAUUACUGGGCGUAAAGCGUGCGCAGGCGGUUUUUUACGCCUGCUGUGAAAUCCCCGGGCUUAACCUGGGAAUUGCAUUUGGGACUGCAAGGCUAGAGUGCGGCAGAGGGGACUGGAAUUCCUGGUGUAGCAGUGAAAUGCGUAGAUAUCAGGAGGAAUACCGAUGGCGAAGGCAGGUCCCUGGGUUGACACUGACGCUCAUGCGCGAAAGCGUGGGGAGCAAACAGG
rnacentral:rRNA from 1 species